rnacentral:tRNA from 1 species
GGAGGUGUGGCUCAAAGGUUGAGCGGCAGACUGUUAAUCUGCGGGUAAUAACCCUAUGUUGGUUCGAGUCCAACCUCCUCCGCAA